rnacentral:rRNA from 1 species
AACGCUAGCUACAGGCUUAACACAUGCAAGUCGAGGGGUACCAUGGUCAAAGCUUGCUUUGACUGAUGACGACCGGCGGAUGGGUGAGUAACACGUAUCCAACCUACCGUAUACACGGGGAUAGCCUUUCGAAAGAAAGAUUAAUACCCGAUGGUGUAAAGAGAUCCCCUGAUUUUUUUACUAAAGAUUUAUCGGUAUACGAUGGGGAUGCGUUCCAUUAGUUUGUUGGCGGGGUAACGGCCCACCAAGACUUCGAUGGAUAGGGGUUCUGAGAGGAAGGUCCCCCACAUUGGAACUGAGACACGGUCCAAACUCCUACGGGAGGCAGCAGUGAGGAAUAUUGGUCAAUGGACGGGAGUCUGAACCAGCCAAGUAGCGUGAAGGAUGAAGGCUCUAUGGGUCGUAAACUUCUUUUAUACGGGAAUAAAGUGAACCACGUGUGGUUUUUUGUAUGUACCGUAUGAAUAAGGAUCGGCUAACUCCGUGCCAGCAGCCGCGGUAAUACGGAGGAUCCGAGCGUUAUCCGGAUUUAUUGGGUUUAAAGGGAGCGUAGGCGGGUACUUAAGUCAGUUGUGAAAGUUUACGGCUCAACCGUGAAAUUGCAGUUGAUACUGGGUGCCUUGAGUGCAGUAGAGGUAAGCGGAAUUCGUGGUGUAGCGGUGAAAUGCUUAGAUAUCACGAAGAACUCCGAUUG